UUUUUACAAUGGUUGUUUUAUGUAAAAUACAAUAAUUUAGUCAGCAAACUAUAGUUAACUUAAAUGUGAGUUAAGGCUGCAUGUGUGUGUGAUAUUUCUCAUCUGUGGCCACGUUGUGCAUUUACUAAAACAAGACCAAAUACAAUUUUCCUGCCUCGACUGGACAAUGAAGUUUAUUUUAUUCUAUUAAAAUGUAUUCACUGUCCCCAUGGUGCAGCAGGACAGGAGAGAAUACUGUUGGAGCUUGGAUUAGUUUUCCCGUCCAAAUACAAUAUUUAGUUUGUCUGUUUUUCUUUGGGCCUCUGCAGUGCAGUGGUGCAAGAAGUAUUUACUAAAGUAAAAGUACUAAUACCACACUGUGAAAUUACUCCACUAAAAGAGUAAAAGUCCUGCAUUCAAAACUUACUGAAGUAAAAGUACAAAAUUAUCAGCAUCAAAUGUUGAUGAUUCCAGCUCGUUAUAUGCACUUGACACUGAAACUGGAACCUUUUUCUAUUCAAUAAUGCUAAACUUCUCGUGUCUUUCACCAGUGUGACAGCUUUAUUUAUUCUUUUCUUACUGAAUUUAUUGCUCAGAGAGAUCUUUGUCUCUUUCAGCUGUCAGUCUGCAUGAAUCAUUGUGAGGCGUUUUGUUCAAAACCUUCAUGCUAAAUAAUAUCUAUUAGUAAAGAAAGACUCCUCAGAAAUCUGACUUAAAGUAAUAAAGCUUUAGAACGGCCGUGUGGGCGCUGAGACACUGUGACAGAAAGUAGAUUAACCUGAAAGAGGACGACUGUGGAAUUUGAUUUAAGAAUUAUAAAGAAAUUUGCAAAGGCAAUUAGCACAAGGUUAAUACAUGAAUGAACUGAAUUUAUAUCACCUGUCAGACCAUAAAGACUCAUUUCAGCACUUGUUGACAAGCAGUUUCUAAACACCAUUAAAAAGUGACAGCAGUUCCACAGCCAAGAACUAGUUUUGCAGCUAAUAAUUGUAUUUCCAGAACACAUGGGGUGAACAAUAAAUUCCAUAUUGAGUGCACACUGGGAAACCUGUUACACCAACAGGUAGAAAUGGUUUCCAGCAAAGAAAUAAGACAGGAAAAAUGUGUUUUGUGCUGAAAAUCGGUGAGAUUUUAUUUGCCCUGGGCUAUGAGAAACAACCACAAAGACACUGUGCAAAGAAAGCAAUGAUUAAGUCACACUUAUGGAGAGUCGGCAAGCACAUGGUACACAAACAAAAAAUGAUAUAUAUCUGCAUGUACAGAGUAUAUUGCCAAAAAGAGUUCAUGCUACAAACGUAUACAUAUAAACGUAAACAUAUAAACCAAUAAAAGGAGGUUUCAAAACUAAUACAGGAACACAAACACCUCAAUCUAAAUCAAUCAAAACAAACUGUUAAAUUCAUUGUCUCAUUCAAAUCGAAAUUUUAAAUCCCCAAAAUAGUUUUCUUUGUGUUUUUUGUUGUUUACGGUGUAUGCAACUUGUUUUCAGAUGCUACAUUUAGCUACAGUAGAUGCUGGUUCUGUUCAACAGGUUUCUCUGUGAAUCUGCAGCCUUUCUCAAUCAAAAGAAAAUUAUUACAACACGUUUCAGAGCUUCUGCUCCGAUACACGACGACUUGAAAAGCAUCAGAGGGAAGGAAGGACACAUGAAACACAAGGACUGCUACCUAAAUGAUGUGCCGCCUACAGAAAGUACAUUUCUCUCAAUAAAAGCAGUUUAGAAAGAAGCAUUCAGCAUUUAUGGCCACCUCAAGGUGUACGUGUAAGUCAUCGAGCAACAUUUUUGUUGUGCUGGCUUUAAGAUAUAUAUUUAAAAGACACUCUCUAAAGUCUCGUAGUCGAGGGUUCGCUAAGCCCCGCCCCUUCCUGUGAGCUUUCAGGUCUCAGGUUUCAAUGAAAACAGCUGAUUUACUUUUCAAAUUCAUUCGCUUUUUAAAAUUUGUAUUUUCAAGUAUUUCAGACAAAAGAAAACAUGUUAUUUCUGGCUCGAUAAUAGCUUAUAAUUAUAAUUAGCUUCAUAAACUGGUUGAACUUGUGUUUUCAUGCGAUUCAUUUUAAAUCGCGGAAUAUUGUAGAUUUAAAAAAGAGUCCUAAAUAUGCACUUUAUGGUUGUAUAACAGUCUCAAAGAUUUUUCAGUUAAAAAAUAAAGUCACUAAUGCAGAAUGAGGUAACACAGAUUGGUGUUUGAUGCUCUGGCUACGAUCAGCAGCGGUUGGUUUUCAAGUCACUUGUGUGUGAAGUGAUGCACUUUUUUCUCUGCGAGCACGGUGAGAGUAAAACGAGAAAGUGAGAUCUAAAAACACAAAUCAGUGCUGCUAAAGAGAAUAAAAUGAAACUAUCUGAGGUUUUACCUACAAGUACACUUUUAAAACUGUUGUGCUUUAUGAGUUGGUUGGCUUCUUAUUCCCUUCAUAAUGUUUUUCAGCUGACUCGUUUUAUAUCAAGAAUCUUGUAAAAGAAGUCUUUGCGGCUAAAUAUGUGACAUCACGUUAAAAGACAGAUGCUAAAGCUAACAUGUCUGAGAGAAAAAGUUGGCAUCCUCACAAGUCAAGUCAUAGUAAACAGCAGAAAUGUCGAAGUUUGAUAUGGAAAAAAUAUAAAAACAUUCUGUUCUAAUCUCAUUUUCCGGGUUUAACUUUACAAGAGAAAAGGUUCUGAGAAUGAGGAGCAACUGAGGAGUUUGGCAGGACAGAACUGUGACUGAAAUACUAAACAAUGGAGGUCAUCGUCCAUUGGCCUGAGCCUAAUAAUGAGGAUAAUAAUAAUAAUA